rnacentral:rRNA from 1 species
AGGGCUAAUGGUGGAUGCCUAGACUGUAAGAGGCGAUGAAAGACGUAUUAGGCUGCGAUAAGCCUCGGGGAGCUGCCAAAGAGCUUUGAUCCGGGGAUUUCUGAAUGGGGCAACCCAAUAUAAUGAGAAUUAUAUUACCCUACGGGGAGCGAACCUAGUGAAGUGAAACAUCUCAGUAGCUAGAGGAAGAGAAAUCAAACGAGAUUCCCAAAGUAGCGGCGAGCGAAAUGGGAUUAGGACAAACCCAAUGCUUGCAUUGGGGGUUGUAGGACCAUGAUAUGAGACUAAAGAGGAUAGAUGAAAUACUUGGAAAAGUGUAGCAUAGAAGGUGAAACUCCUGUAAUUAAAAUUCUCAAUAGCUCUAAUGGUAUCCUGAGUAGGUCGGAACACGUGAUAUUUUGACUGAAGCCGGGGGGACCACCCUCCAAUCCUAAAUACUACUUACAGAUCGAUAGUGAACAAGUACCGUGAGGGAAAGGUGAAAAGUACUCCAGCGAGGAGAGUGAAAUAGAACCUGAAACCAUUAGCUUACAAUCAUUCAGAGCCCUAUGAUUUAUCAGGGUGAUGGACUGCCUUUUGCAUAAUGAGCCUGCGAGUUGUGGUAUCUGGCAAGGUUAAGUCAAGUACGAAGCCGUAGCGAAAGCGAGUCUUAAUAGGGCGAAUUAGUCAGAUGCUGCAGACCCGAAACGAAGUGAUCUAUCCAUGAGCAGGUUGAAGCUGGUGUAAGAGCCAGUGGAGGACCGAACCCGCAGGCGUUGAAAAGUCUUGGGAUGACUUGUGGAUAGGGGUGAAAGGCCAAUCAAACUUCGUGAUAGCUGGUUCUCUCCGAAAUAUAUUUAGGUAUAGCCUUGUGUUGUAGCAUAUGGGGGUAGAGCACUGAAUGGGCUAGGGCUGCUUACCGCGGUACCAAACCCUAUCAAACUAUGAAUACUAUAUGUGGAAUCACAGGAGUCAGGCGGUGGGUGAUAAAAUCAAUCGUCGAGAGGGGAACAACCCAGACUAACAGCUAAGGUCCCUAAGUUACAUCUAAGUGGAAAACGAUGUGGAGUUACUGUGACAACCAGGAGGUUGGCUUAGAAGCAGCCAUCCUUUAAAGAAAGCGUAACAGCUCACUGGUCUAGUGUUUUUGCGCCGAAGAUAUAGCGGGGCUAAGCAUACCACCGAAGCCGCGGACUAGUACGAUAAGUGCUAGUGGUAGAGGAGCAUUCUGCACAGCGUUGAAGCGUAAGCGGCAAGCUUAUGUGGAGCGUGUUGAAGAGAUAAUGCAGGCAUUAGUAGCGAUAAAAAGGGUGAGAAACCCUUUCGCCGAAAAUCUAAGGUUUCCACCGGCAGGGUAAUCCGCGGUGGGUUAGUCGGCCCCUAAGGCGAGGGAGAAAUCCGUAGUCGAUGGGAAACAGGUGAAUAUUCCUGUACCUGUAAUAUGUUCGUUUGACGAAGUGGUGACGGAGAAGGUUAGGCAGUCCAGGUGUUGGACGUCCUGGUUUAAGGUUGUAGGGAGUACUGGUAGGCAAAUCCGCUGGUACAAUUCUGAGAGCUGAUGACGAGUCUUUGUAAUGAAGACGAAGCUGUUGAUACCACGCUUCCGAGAAAAACCUCUAAGGAGAACAUAACAGACCGUACCGUAAACCGACACAGGUAGAUAGGGAGAGAAUCCCAAGGCGUUCGAGAUAACUCUAGUUAAGGAACUCGGCAAAAUGCCACCGUAACUUAGGGAUAAGGUGGGCUCCUAGUAAUUGAAAAGACUUGCUCUUGUAGGUGAACGGAGUUGCAGAUGAGAGGCCCAGGCGACUGUUUAUCAAAAACAUAGCACUCUGCUAACUGGCAACAGGAUGUAUAGGGUGUGACGCCUGCCCGGUGCUGGAAGGUUAACAGGAGAUGUCAGCGUAAGCGAAGCAUUGAAUCGAAGCCCCAGUAAACGGCGGCCGUAACUAUAACGGUCCUAAGGUAGCGAAAUUCCUUGUCGGGUAAGUUCCGACCUGCACGAAUGGUGUAACGAUCUGGGCACUGUCUCAACCGUGAGCUCGGUGAAAUUGUAGUAUCGGUGAAGAUGCCGAUUACCCGCGAUGGGACGAAAAGACCCCGUGAACCUUUACUAUAGCUUAUCAUUGAAUUUGGGCACGUGAUGUGUAGGAUAGGUCGGAGGCCUUGAAGCAGGUACGCCAGUAUUUGUGGAGCCGUUGUUGAAAUACGACCCUUCAUUUGUUUGAGUUCUAACUUCCUUGAUGGAAGGACACUGAUUGGUGGGUAGUUUGACUGGGGUGGUCGCCUCCAAAAGAGUAACGGAGGCUUCUAAAGGUUCCCUCAGCACGCUUGGUAACCGUGCGUAGAGUGCAAUGGCAUAAGGGAGCUUGACUGAGAGACAUACAGGUCGAUCAGGUACGAAAGUAGAGCAUAGUGAUCCGGUGGUUCCGCAUGGAAGGGCCAUCGCUCAAAGGAUAAAAGGUACGCCGGGGAUAACAGGCUGAUCUCCCCCAAGAGCUCACAUCGACGGGGAGGUUUGGCACCUCGAUGUCGGCUCAUCGCAUCCUGGGGCUGUAGUCGGUCCCAAGGGUAUGGCUGUUCGCCAUUUAAAGCGGUACGCGAGCUGGGUUCAGAACGUCGUGAGACAGUUCGGUCCCUAU